rnacentral:rRNA from 1 species
CCUACGGGAGGCAGCAGUGGGGAAUAUUGCGCAAUGGCCGAAAGGCUGACGCAGCGACGCCGCGUGGGGGAUGAAGCAUUUCGGUGUGUAAACCCCCUGUUGCUCGGGACGAACAACUGGAUUUGUCCAGUCUGACGGUACCGGGUGAGGAAGCACCGGCUAACUCCGUGCCAGCAGCCGCGGUAAUACGGAGGGUGCGAGCGUUGUCCGGAAUCACUGGGCGUAAAGGGCGCGUAGGCGGUCUGCUAAGCGUGUGGUGAAAGCUCGGGGCUCAACCCCGAGUCUGCCAUGCGAACUGGUGGACUAGAGCACUGUAGAGGCAGGUGGAAUUCCGGGUGUAGCGGUGGAAUGCGUAGAGAUCCGGAAGAACACCGGUGGCGAAGGCGGCCUGCUGGGCAGUAGCUGACGCUGAGGCGCGACAGCGUGGGGAGCAAACAGGAUUAGAUACCCUGGUAGUCCACGCCGUAAACGAAUAGGGGACUAGGUGNGUGGGGUAGGGCGGACCCGCCCGACGUGGCGGCCGGCGACGACGACUAACGUAACCGUACCCGUACCCGGUACCGGGUACCGGGUACCGGGACCGGAACCGGACCGGACGGUUAACGGUUAAACGGUAAAACGGUUAAAAGGUUAAAGGGUUAACGGUUACGGUUAGGUUACGGUA